rnacentral:rRNA from 1 species
AGAGCGAACGCUGGCGGCAUGCUUAACACAUGCAAGUCGCACGGUCAGCAAUGGCAGUGGCGGACGGGUGAGUAACGCGUAGGUAUCUAUCCACGGGUGGGGGACAACGUCGGGAAACUGACGCUAAUACCGCAUGAUACCCGAGGGUCAAAGGCGCAAGUCGCCUGUGGAGGAGCCUGCGUACGAUUAGCUUGUUGGUGGGGUAAAGGCCUACCAAGGCGACGAUCGUUAGCUGGUCUGAGAGGAUGAUCAGCCACAUUGGGACUGAGACACGGCCCAAACUCCUACGGGAGGCAGCAGUGGGGAAUAUUGGACAAUGGGCGAAAGCCUGAUCCAGCAAUGCCGCGUGUGUGAAGAAGGUCUUCGGAUUGUAAAGCACUUUCGGCGGGACGAUGAUGACGGUACCGCGAGAAGACGCCCCGGCUAACUCGCGCCAGCAGCCGC